rnacentral:lncRNA from 1 species
CAAAAACCUGUUUAUAGCACAGUCUAUUUCUUUCAUUUUCCUUGAAAAUACCAAACUGGUUGUUACAGAGACCCAAGGCUGAAAUAUUCCAAAGCAACGUUUCACUCAUCCUUCCUCCCAGAUUCUUUUCUCUGCUGCAGUCAAUUCCCCCUUUUUCCAUUUGUAGAGACAAAAGGGAACAUUCUAUAACCACUGGCCUCUGUCCAGGAACACAGGAGAAAAUGAAGCAAGGCAAACAACAGAGAAAAGUGAACAACAAAAGAACAAACUCAAACGAAACUGCUUAACAAUCCUACAGUGCAGACCUGGCAGGAAGAAAAAGUGGAUGAGGAAGACCCUUUGGACAUCGUCAAAAGAGGCAUUAUAUCCACAGUAAUGACUAAAGAGUAUAAAAAUUGCUGGAAGUCUUUUAUUUUCUUCUUGUUACUUAGUUUUCAUUUUGUAAUUAUAAACUUAACUCUGCGAUCCAGCUAGACAUGGAAGAGGAUAAGGAAAAUAUGGAACCCAAAGGACUGUGCAAAGAUUAUAGGAUGCUGUGAGCAAAUGGGGUGGAAGCAUGCUUUCCUGAGCUAUAGAAGGAACGAUCUGGUGGUUCAGAUAAAACAAUCAAAUUUAUU